GGCUGGGUACAGCUCAGUGGUAGAGCACAUGCUUAGCAUGCACAAGAUCCAGGGUUCAAUCCCCAGUCCCUCCA
rnacentral:tRNA from 1 species